UACGGAGGGUGCAAGCGUUGUCCGGAUUUAUUGGGUUUAAAGGGUGCGUAGGCGGUUCCAUAAGUCAGUGGUGAAAUACGGCAGCUCAACUGUCGAGGUGCCAUUGAUACUGCGGAACUUGAGUACUGAUGAGGUAGGCGGAAUUGACGGUGUAGCGGUGAAAUGCUUAGAUAUCGUCAAGAACACCGAUAGCGAAGGCAGCUUACCAAGCAGUAACUGACGCUGAGGCACGAAAGUGCGGGGAUCAAACAGG
rnacentral:rRNA from 1 species